rnacentral:rRNA from 1 species
UUCGCAAUGCCCGAAAGGGUGACGAAGCGACGCCGCGUGGGUGAGGAAGGCCCUCGGGUUGUAAAGCCCUGUCAGGAGUUAAGAAAUGUAAGUGUCGCAAUGCCCGAAAGGGUGACGAAGCGACGCCGCGUGGGUGAGGAAGGCCUUCGGGUUGUAAAGCCCUGUCAGGAGUUAAGAAAUGUAGACUCGCUAAUAUCGGGUCUAUUUGACAAAGGCUCCAAAGGAAGCCACGGCUAACUCUGUGCCAGCAGCCGCGGUAAUACAGAGGUGGCAAGCGUUGUUCGGAAUUAUUGGGCGUAAAGAGCACGUAGGUGGAUUUGUAAGUCAGACGUGAGAGCCUUCCGUUCAACGGAAGAAUUGCAUCUGAAACUACAAACCUUGAGUGUAGGAGGGGAGAAUGGAACUUCUGGUGGAGCGGUGAAAUGCGUAGAUAUCAGAAGGAACGCCGGCGGCGAAAGCGAUUCUCUGGCCUAUUACUGACACUCAGUGUGCGAAAGCUAGGGGAGCAAACGGGAUUAGAUACCCCGGUAGUCCUAGCCGUAAACGAUGGGCACUAAGUAGAGGGGUUUUA